CGGUGCAAUGAGACUAGCCUCGU
rnacentral:piRNA from 1 species